CUUAACCCCGUGAUGNGAUGGAAACUGCCAAUCUAGAGUAUCGGAGAGGAAAGUGGAAUUCCUAGUGUAGCGGUGAAAUGCGUAGAUAUUAGGAAGAACACCAGUGGCGAAGGCGACUUUCUGGACGAAAACUGACGNUGAGGCGCGAGAGCCAGGGGAGCGAACGGGAUUAGAUACCCCGGUAGUCCUGGCCGUAANCGAUGGGUACUAGGUGUAGGAGGUAUCGACCCCUUCUGUGCCGGAGUUAACGCAAUAAGUACCCCGCCUGGGGAGUACGACCGCAAGGUUGAAACUCAAAGGAAUUGACGGGGGCCCGCACAAGCGGUGGAGUAUGUGGUUUAAUUCGACGCAACGCGAAGAACCUUACCAGGUCUUGACAUUGAUGGACAGAACCAGAGAUGGUUCCUCUUCUUCGGAAGCCAGAAAACAGGUGGUGCACGGUUGUCGUCAGCUCGUGUCGUGAGAUGUUGGGUUAAGUCCCGCAACGAGCGCAACCCCUAUCUUAUGUUGCCAGCACUUUGGGUGGGGACUCAUGAGAGACUGCCGCAGACAAUGCGGAGGAAGGCGGGGAUGACGUCAAAUCGUCAUGCCCCUUAUGACCUGGGCUACACACGUACUACAAUGGGAGUUAAUAGACGGAAGCGAGAUCGCGAGAUGGAGCAAACCCGAGAAACACUCUCUCAGUUCGGAUCGUAGGCUGCAACUCGCCUACGUGAAGUCGGAAUCGCUAGUAAUCGCAGGUCAGCAUACUGCGGUGAAUACGUUCCCGGGCCUUGUACACACCGCCCGUCACACCACGAAAGUCGGAAGUGCCCAAAGCCGGNGGGGUAACCUUCGGGAGCCAGCCGUCUAAGGUNAAGUCGAUGAUU
rnacentral:rRNA from 1 species